UUCCCUUGCCUUUUUAGUCUCAGCAGAUUCCCAGUGGCAUCUUCAACCACACCCAAGUCAUCAUUGGUGGCCAGUCCCAAAUUGUGACCAUCAACAGGCAAUGGCGUGUGGCAAUCAUUGAGAGAAGGAACAUCAGCGGGUCCUGGAAAACCAUCUGGAACUACAACACGGUCAGUGGCAACAACGGGUAACAAAAAGCAACCAAGGAGUCUGGCUGUUCAUACAGCUGGCUCAGAGAUGGUGAUUGUUUCUUUAUUCUGAAUGUUUGGAGUCCACAGUCUGAGGCACUAACAUUCAGCAUUUGUUAGUUGGGUUUCCAUCCCAACUUUAUCCCAAUAUUAGCCGUUGGUAAAAACAGAAUUGUGAGUGCUGAAUAAUUUCAUUUCACAGGGCGUCAUUGCAACCAAAGUCACGCAACAGAACACCUGCUACAUUUCCAUCAUGAACAGAAGUGAGAUGCCCCGCUUUGAUAACCUGGCCCGCCUGGCACAAGAGAGCAGGGUAAGGUUCCAAAGGAGCAGCAGGUUCCUGGCUGUAGAGAUCACUGGGCCAUUUCUUCAUGUGCUUUUUAUUUCUAGAUAAGGUCAGGUUGUCACUAGUGACAGAGUUUCCUUUCUCUUAAAAGUAAUGAAGAUGAGAAAUGCAUAGUAGGAAUGCUUUGCCAGAAGAAGAAUAGGGCUGCAUCAUUCCCUUUGCCACUUUCCAUUAGGAGUUUGGCCUCUGCAGCUUGCUAGGUGAACCUGUUCUUUGAGGAGCCUUUCAGGGCUAUUGUUCUGCUUCCACUUCCCCUCAAAUUCACUGCAUCUUGACUGAUGUAGAACAAGCUCAGCCUUUGCAGCUAUGUUCAAGGCUUGCUCGUGGUCCCACAGGCCCCCAGGGGAUUAAAAAGUCUCUCUAAAGGCAGAUGGGAAUUAAACACACCUCUAGAGUCCUCGUCUGAGAGCUAGGAAUAGCCCUGGCAGGAACCAGCUCCUGGCAUGCAAUUGCUGAAUGCGGGUUUUUGAUGUUCAGAACCUGAUUGGUGUUUUUGGAAGACAUACCAAGAGAAUCACCUUUGUCACCAAUGGACUGGUCAACAACCUCUACUCCUACGGAAUAAACGUCGCGGCUAUGUGCAGCGGACUCACCACCUACCUGGCUUCUGAAGUUCACACUUUCCAGGGACCCCAGGCGAAUCUGGGAUCCUGCAUUACCCUCGAUGUCCUGAGAGUUGUAGAGCUGCAAUACUGCAAUAGCAAUGGCAAUUGGAAUGGCCAAUGGAAUGGCAAUUGGAAUGGCAUUGGCAACGGCAACUGGAAUGGCCAAUGGAAUGGCAUUGGCAAUGGCCAUUGGAACAACAACUGGAAUGGCAUUGGCAAUGGCCAAUGGAAUGGCCAAUGGAACGGCAAUGGCAAUGGCAACUGGAACAACGAUUGGAAUGGCAAUGGCAAUGGCAAUUGGAAUGGCCAAUGGAACGGCAAUGGCAAUGGCAACUGGAACAACAAUUGGAAUGGCGUUGGCAAUGGCAACUGGAACAACAACUGGAAUGGCAUUGGCAAUGGCAAUUGGAAUGGAAAUGGCAACUGGAACAACAAUUGGAAUGGCAAUGGCAACUGGAAUGGCAAUUGGAAUGGAAAUGGCAAUUGGAACAACAAUUGGAACGGCAAUUGGAAUGGCAAUUUCCCGGUGAGAAUACUUUAGCCCUUAGAUUUCGUGAACCUAAUGAGGGGGGG
ensembl:lncRNA